CCUGCCUAAAGGAUGAAGUUACACUGUCACUGGGUUCUAUUCCUGAAUACUCUGUCUGUGACCUAGCCUCCAGAGUACCUUCCACUGGAGUGUGAGACGCCUCUUAGGAGCUGAAUCCCACCAAACCACGCAGCUGGCUACAAUUUGCUCAGGCCACAAGGGGGCAGUGCAACCAAGCUGAUCAUCUCACCCAAGGGAUUACGAACAGACCUAGGAGCGCAGGCAAGCAGCCUGCAGAACUUUUGCCCCGUCCCUAGAGAAGAGUGUCAAAAAGCAUGGAGAAGAAUAAUGUAACAGGUUUGUGG